GCCGUUUCUGGUAAGCAGAACUGGCGAUGCGGGAUGAACCGAGAGCUAGGUUAAGGUGCCUAAGUGAACGCCAAAGGACACCACUAAAGGAGUUGGUCGAUGAAGACAGCAGGACGGUGGCCCUGAAAGUAGGAGACCGCUAAGGAGUGUCUAACAACUCACCUGCCGAAUCGACUGGCCCUGAAGAUGGAUGGCGCUAAAGCGUUCCACCGAUACCUGGCCAUCAGCAUUAGUGUGUGAUACAUGCUGAUGGGUAGGAGGGCGCAAUGAUAGCUGAGAAGAGUAUAGCGUAAGCUUGCUUGGAGCUGUCAUUGGUGCUGAUCUUGGUGGUAGUAGCAGUUUAUUCAAGUGAAAAGCUUGAAGGCCGAAGUGGAGAAGGGUUCCGCGUAAACAUCAUUUGGACGCGGGUUAGUCGGUCCUAAGCGGCAGCUUACGUGCUGAGAUAUAUAAAGGGGAAGUGUAUUUCACAUGUCUACCGGCAUGUAAAAGUGUUAGUAACUGUGCUAUACUCUCUCAAGCCGCGAAAGGGAAUCAGGCUAAUAUUCCUGAGCCAGGCUACGGAUAGUUUGUGUAAUGUGGUUACUUUAGUGGAUGCACUUGUGUAUUUGCUUGGUAAUUGUGUUGCAUGAAUGCAGCGGUAACGCAAACAAACUCAGAGACAUCUUAGGCAGUUCUGGGAAGAGUUAUCUUUUCUGUUUAACGAAAUGACGCCCUGGAAUUGAGUUAUUCAGAGAUAGGGCUGAGAUUUCGGAAGAGCAUCGCAUUUUUGGCGAUGUCCGGUGUACUGUCUAAGGUCCUUGAAAAUCUGAGGGCGUGAAUGAUUUUCGUGUCUGGCCGUACCGUAAUCCGCAACAGGUCUCCAAGGUGAAUAGCCUCUGGCACUAGAACAAUGUGGGUAAGGGAAGUCGGCAAAAUAGAUUCGUAACUUCGGGAUAAGGAUUGGCUCUAAGGGUUGGGCCGGUCGGGCUAGUUUAUUUAAUUCAAUGUGUGUCUGUUGUAGAGUUUGAAUAUUAUACUGUUAGUGCUUGCAUUGACGGUGUAACGUUUGAGCUUAAUGAUGGAUGUGCUUGGUUAAGUGUCUAGCUUGGCAUACGCUGCAAUGUUAUUAACGUAAUGUUGUAGUUUGUGUCCUCGCGGCUGGCUAAAAUCAACCAACUUAGAACUGUCACUGACUAGGGGAAUCCGACUGUUUAAUUAAAACAAAGCAUUGCGAUGGCUGGAAACGGUGUUGACGCAGUGUGAUUUCUGCCCAGUGCUCUGAAUGUCAAAGUGUGGAAACACAUCCAAGCGCGGGUAAACGGCGGGUGUAACUAUGACUCUCUCAAGAUAGCCAAAUGCCUCGUCAUCUAAUUAGUGACGCGCAUGAACGGAUCAACGAGAUUCCCACUGUCCCUACCUACCAUCUAGCGAACCCACAGUCAAGGGAACGGGCUUGACUGAGACAGCGGGGAAAGAAGACCCUGUUGAGCUUGACUCUAGUUUGAUAUGGUGAGGAGACACGAAGGGUGUAGCAUAGGUGGGAGAUAUG
rnacentral:rRNA from 1 species